rnacentral:lncRNA from 1 species
GACGAGAGUGGGUCAAGGACUGCAUUGGUAGUAGUGUUGAGUACAGAAUAAAAUAGAAGACCAACACACACCCCUCCCCAGAGCAGGAAGAGACCCAGAUGUUAUGCAGUUAACAAGCCUUGGGACGUGCUCUGAAAGAACAGUGGAGAAGGUCCUAGAUGAGGAGAUGCCCAGCUCAGAUACGCAGUGUCAGAAAUUCAGGAAAUUCUCCUACGAGGAGGCUGAUGGUCCUCGAGAGGUUUGUACCCGACUCCACCACCUUUGCCGUCAGUGGCUCAAGCCAGAGCAACACACAAAGGCUCAGGUGCUGGACCUGAUCCGCAGUGCCAGAAAUUCAGGGAAUUCUCCUACGAGGAGGCUGAUGGUCCUCGAGAGCUUUGUACUAGACUCCACCACCUUUGCCGUCAGUGGCUCAAGCCAGAGCAACAUACAAAGGCUCAGAUCCUGGACCUGGUCAUCUUGGAGCAGUUCCUGGCUAUCCUCCCCCUGGAGAUGUCGAGCUGGGUGAGAGAAUGUGGAGCCGAGACCACUUCCCAGGCGGUGUCGCUGGCAGAAGGUUUCCUGGGUCUGAAUCAGGCAGAAGAGAGAAAGCAGGAAGAGCUAGAGGUGAGAGCAAUCCAUGCCAGGGACUUCGAAUCUGAAAUGGGGAGCCCAUGACUCCUGCACUCGCUCCCUGUUUGAGGCUGUUCUGCUGGAAUUUAUUCUUUAUGGUCCUUGAAAGGAAGAUGUGGGGUCCGUGUUCAUUUUAUUUUGAAACCGAAUAACCGCCCCCAAAAUAGGGGAGAUCCUCUUCCACUUAAAACAAGGUGCAUCCUCCUCAUCUGCAUCAUUUUCCAAGUAAAUUUCAGGUUUACCUCUACCCUUGGCACUGCACUCAGUCGAGCACUGUUGUAUGUGCAGUGACACAAUAUGAUGCCUUUCAGUGGGUUCCGGUAGGGAUGGCCUUUUUGUAUGCCAAAGGGUCAAGAAAAUGAGGGUAGAAAUCCUACAAUUUUUACCAAUUGCCAAUAUUUUUCUAAGAAAAUCUGUGGAAGAUGUGCCUUCUCUUCCAAGUCCCAGCGUCAUCCGCUGAUAUCAUUUCUCUUUCUUUUCUUCUUCACCUUCUUAUUGCAUGUCGUGGAUUCUCAGUUGGGAAAUCUCUCUGUAGAAAAUCAGUCUGAGGAACCUCAGCAACAAGAGAUCAAUCAAGGGAACGAAGAAGGUGUCAGCUUUAUAGGGGCCGGCGCGAGGCCAACGACAAGUAGUCCUUCAUCUCUUCCUUGCUGUGGAGACGCCGAUCUGGUAGGGCAAAGGCCUUGCAUAUUUCGAUUAUGUACUGUAUUUUAUGUUUACAAUUUGUGCCUAACUGCUUAUUUAAUGUACUACUAUUAUAUUUUUGAAACAGAAUAGCGUACAACACUUAAUGGGGCAGAGAGAAAGAGUGAGAGUGUAUUGUGUAUCUGGGGUGUAUGUGUGUAUUAGUAAAUGAAUUUGUAAAAAUUCCUAACAAAUCCCUGUACAUUCAACCACUUUUGCUCUUAUUCAGUCUGACAUUUUCUUUUUAAUGAAAUGCUCCAUUUGAUCAGUGCUUACGUAGAAGGCUGGUAUAGUAUGGUCUUCCCAGUGUGAUAAAGAGCAAUACCUAACCAUCCGUUUCCAUGUCCAAUACAAAGUCCUGUUUAUUACCCUAUAAAAAUCUAGAUGGCAAUCUGAAGGACCGUCUCUCCCCAUGUGAGCCUCCUCGGCUCUUAAGAGCUUCACAGGGGACCCACCUCUGGGCCAUCACAGGUACACCUGAUGGGGACACGAGAAAGGGCCUUCUCUGUGGCAGCUUCAGUUUACUCAGGAGAUUGUCCCUUACUUUACUCCCUCCACCAACAGCUUCAGACUGGCUUUUACUAGCUGAGUCUUGAAUGCUGGUUUUUACCUAGUAAGUUUGUUUUUAAAGAUGUAAAUGUUUUUAAUUCUUUAAUAUAUUUUAAAUCAUAGUUAAUUCCUUUUUAAUGUAUAAUUUAUGCUGUUUUAAACUCUAAGUUUUUCCCAUGGUGAGCUGCCUUGAGUCCCUUCCUUGGGAGGAAGGCAGCCCACAAGUAGUGGGUUGUUUGAGGUUUUCCAAAAGUGAAGGUGGAGACACCAGGAAUUACUUUCCCAUCUCUCAUCCCAAAGCCCGGAUUAUUCUAGCAUCCUGUUGCUGACAGAGGGUCCCUGGUUGCCUCAAGGAAGCUGACAAGGAGGGACGGUG